CCCUCCCCAAUCCCACCCGGCCCUGCUGUGCCCGCAGUUCCUGCAGCUCCGCAAGUCCGUAGUUCUCACCAGCAACUUCGCCAAGUCCGUGGUCAACCUGGCUGACAUGAUCUACAAGGAGCAGCUCAACACCCGCAUCGUGCUGGUGGCCAUGGAGACGUGGGCGGCCGAGGACCGCAUCCGGGUGGGACAGGACCCCCUGGAGACCCUGAACGAGUUUGUCAAGUACCGGCGGGAGGGGCUGGCAGAGCACAGCGACACCGUGCACCUCUUCUCGGGUUACACGUUCCAGAGCAGCCGCAGCGGCACCGCCUUUG